CACACCUUACAGAGUGAAAGAUACCGCGCAGAGAGAGAUACGGGAGCCAUUCAAUGGUUGCGACGGCCGACGGACUCUACAAUUGCCAUUCAUCACCAAGUUUUGGUUCAAAGUCCCCCUUCUAACCUAAAACACAACCCCUGACCCUCAUUUUCAUCAAGCGCCGCUCUUCACCAAACCCUAACGUUCUUCACCAGAGCCACCGCCUCCCUCACCCCGCCGCAUAAUUCUCUCCGUCAUCAUCACGACCACCGCCUCUCUCACCACCAAACACGAAGACAACGGUGAUUCACACGACUGGGUUCUGAUUGGAGUUUCAAGGACAACAUAUAUUGAACCGAUUUGGAGUUGCUAGGGUUUCGGUAUGAAAAAUCAAGAAUCUCUUCUUAAAAUCAAAUCUAUAGAAGCAAGAAGCUUGAUGAUUCUGGUCGAGGUGAACAUUGCAACCAUGGAGAGGUUAUGGUUUUUGGUGUCAAGAAAGCUCGACAUACCGGAUUAUCGGUAUCUUUAAAGUCACCUGGUGAUGAUGGGAGACUAGGCGAGUAGGAGGCGAUCGAUA